UGGGAAUGAGGUUGAAGGUGCAUAGUGGCGGGGGGUUUUAAGGGCGGCGAUGGACGGAGACAGGUUAUGAUGUGAGAGAACGAGCUAGGGAGAGGGCCCAGAGAUAGGUUGGGAGUAGGGUGGGGGAAACAGUGAUCUAAAGGGACAAGAGGCAGGGGCUUGGAGGAGCAGGGCCGUAAGAAAGAACGCGGCUAACGGGAUGAGAAUGAAGGCGCCAACACACUGCCAAGAUGGAGUGGGAAAAAACUAGAGAGGGAUGAGGCGGAGGGCAAAGGAUCGGAGAGAGGGGAUGAGGAUGGCUAGGGAAGAACGGCAGAAGUUCGGCCCAGAAUAAAGAACAGGGUCAGGACAGAAGACGUGUUUGGAGAGAAGACAGACUUGAGUGGAGGGGAAUGGAGGUGCACUGAGCGGGGAAACCUCCUGGGCUGCUGGAAGGUGGGGACAGGUGGGAGUCUGGCAGAUAACUGCUCACCGUAGAGUCCUUAAAGGACGUGCCCGGAAGAAAGGGCAAGCCAUGCACGGGAUUGGACACCAUUGCAGCCGGUACCACCGCCGCCACCUAGGUCCUGCUUCGUCCUCUCCGGUUGCCCAGGCGACAAGCAGUGUUCGCGGGCACCUCCAGGAUCCAUGGUAACGCUAAACAUCCGGAACUCCCACGAGCGGAAGGCGGGGCCAGGAGGCGCAGGCAUCACAGGAGGUUUGCGCGUGCGCCAUCCGCAGGACUCCGCGUUCUCGCGACACCAACUGAGGAUGGAUGCCAG
rnacentral:lncRNA from 1 species